rnacentral:rRNA from 1 species
UACAGGGGGGGCAAGCGUUGUUCGGAAUUACUGGGCGUAAAGGGCCAGUAGGCGGCCAACUAAGUCACACGUGAAAUCCCCAGGCUUAACCUGGGAACUGCGUGUGAUACUGGAUGGCUUGAAUUCGGGAGAGGGAUGCAGAAUUCCCGGUGUAGCGGUGAAAUGCGCAGAUAUCGGGAGGAACACCAGUAGCGAAGGCGGCACUCUGGGCCGGUACUGACGCUGAGGAGCGAAAGCGUGGGGAGCAAACAGG